UACGGAGGGGGCGAGCGUUAUCCGGAGUUAUUGGGCGUAAAGGGUGCGUAGGCGGCUGAUUAAGUCUGGGGUUAAAGUUCAUUGCUUAACUGUGGGAUUGCCUUUGAAACUGGCCGACUGGAGUGGGGCUGAGGUUGGCGGAAUUUGCUGUGUAGCGGUGAAAUGCGUAGAUAUAGGAUAGAACACCGGAUGCGAAGGCGGCUGACUAGGCCUUAACUGACGCUGAGGCACGAAAGCGUGGGGAGCGAACAGG
rnacentral:rRNA from 1 species